GACGAACGCUGGCGGCGUGCUUAACACAUGCAAGUCGAACGGACCUUCGGGUUAGUGGCGAACGGGUGAGAAACACGUGGGUGAUCUGCCCUGCACUUUGGGAUAAGCCUGGGAAACUGGGUCUAAUACCGGAUAGGACUACGCACUGCAUGGUGUGUGGUGGAAAGCUUUUGCGGUGUGGGAUGGGCCCGCGGGCUAUCAGCUUGUUGGUGGGGUGAUGGCCUACCAAGGCGACGACGGGUAGCCGGCCGGAGAGGGUGACCGGCCACACUGGGACUGAGAUACGGCCCAGACUCCUACGGGAGGCAGCAGUGGGGAAUAUUGCACAAUGGGCGCAAGCCUGAUGCAGCGACGCCGCGUGAGGGAUGACGGCCUUCGGGUUGUAAACCUCUUUCGCCAGGGACGAAGCGCAAGUGACGGUACCUGGAGAAGAAGGACCGGCCAACUACGUGCCAGCAGCCGCCGUAA
rnacentral:rRNA from 1 species